rnacentral:rRNA from 1 species
AACGAACGCUGGCGGCAUGCCUAAUACAUGCAAGUCGAACGAGAUCUUCGGAUCUAGUGGCGCACGGGUGCGUAACGCGUGGGAAUCUGCCCUUGGGUUCGGAAUAACUUCUGGAAACGGAAGCUAAUACCGGAUGAUGACGUAAGUCCAAAGAUUUAUCGCCCAAGGAUGAGCCCGCGUAGGAUUAGCUAGUUGGUGAGGUAAAGGCUCACCAAGGCGACGAUCCUUAGCUGGUCUGAGAGGAUGAUCAGCCACACUGGGACUGAGACACGGCCCAGACUCCUACGGGAGGCAGCAGUAGGGAAUAUUGGACAAUGGGCGAAAGCCUGAUCCAGCAAUGCCGCGUGAGUGAUGAAGGCCUUAGGGUUGUAAAGCUCUUUUACCCGGGAUGAUAAUGACAGUACCGGGAGAAUAAGCUCCGGCUAACUCCGUGCCAGCCGCCGCCGUAAAAC